CGAGUGAGUUAAUUUGUGUUGUCUUGUGCUGUGUCAAAUUGAUAUAACUCACUCUCAGCGCUGAUAGUUCCUUCCAUCAGAUUUUGUUUAGUUUCUGUACCAUCCUGGCAUCCUGCCCCUUGCCUUGCAAAUUGUCAAGAAAGUUAUGAUUCUUUUCUGUACUUUUGUUUUAUCUUGAAUCUCAGCUGUUGUUCAAGUUUAUAUACGGAAGGUUAAUUUUUCAGGUCCAAUUAGAUUCGCUAAGCUGGUCUGUUUUGCUGUUUUACCGCUUGUUAAUGUAAGCCAUCUUUGUUCAUUUGAAAGCUCUAUCUUUCCUAUCUUUUGCAGCUUUUGGGCCCGGCCCGAACAGCCUGCGCUUCCUAUCCUUUCGGGUUGUUGGCAUAAAUUGGAAUACCUUAUGUUUGGCACUGGACCUUGGCCUGUUUUAAAUUACAGAGUAUAUACCCACUAGUGCUGAAAGUUCUCUAUUUGUGUCCGUCUGUGAAUGGCCCAAACAGCCUCACAUCCUUUCGGGUCGCGGAUUACUCCUAGAUCCACAUUGGACCUUGGCCUGUUUAAAUUAUAGAGUGAGUAUCAACUAAUGCUGAAAAUUUUCCGUUUGUAUCCGACUGUGAAGAAGGCAGGCAGUCGGGCCUUGAUGGCCAGGCUAGAUCUGUUUAGCAGAAUUGCGAGGUCUUAUCCCGUGAAAGCUCAAAUUCAGCUGAUGUUGAAAUAUGUGUUUCUUGGAAUGCACUCCCUAUCUUUCCAUCAAGAAUGGCUAGAUAGAAGUUCGAAUUUGUGGACGAAAGUUCAAAACAAACAGAAGCGAAGUGGAACAACAAGGUAUAUUCAUAACCUUUCCUAUCUGAUGGCACACACAAUUUCGCAAUUUUUUUCAAGAAGAGGCUGAAAAAGAUCGAGGAUCAAAGAAGAAGAUAGACCUCGGUGGAUUAGGGCAUUUGAAUAUCACCUUAUAUCGUUCAAUGCAUAUUGUGCAAUAUCCCUGUAGAAGCAAUUACUAGUGCCGAUGUCAAUGGAGGCACGGAUAAUCAUGCAGGGGCGGAUUCAGUGUGGGGGCACGGGAGUACAGACCUCUACCCCCAUGCACAACAUAGAGCCCACCAACCAAAAAAAAAUUUCAACCAUGAAUGAAGAAGAGGGAGAAGAAAAGGAGAAAGAAGAAGAAGAAAAGGAGAGGAGGGAGGAAGAAGAAGGGAAAAAUAAGCUCCUCUAGAUUUAGAUCCUAGAUCCGCUAUUGUAAUCAACCCCCACCCUCACAUCAAUAUGGUCUUUGUUGUACUGGUUCCAUAAUGGGCACAUAUAUGGGUUUAUUUGGAGCCAGCAAGGAUGUGGUGUUCUUCAGUAGUGUGCUACUGUGCUAAAUUUUUAGAAUAAGUCCAUUUUGACUCAUUAACCCUUAAAUUUGUCUAAAUU
rnacentral:lncRNA from 1 species